GACGAACGCUGGCGGCGUGCUUAACACAUGCAAGUCGAACGGAAAGGCCCUGCUUUUGUGGGGUGCUCGAGUGGCGAACGGGUGAGUAACACGUGAGUAACCUGCCCUUGACUUUGGGAUAACUUCAGGAAACUGGGGCUAAUACCGGAUAGGAGCUCCUGCUGCAUGGUGGGGGUUGGAAAGUUUCGGCGGUUGGGGAUGGACUCGCGGCUUAUCAGCUUGUUGGUGGGGUAGUGGCUUACCAAGGCUUUGACGGGUAGCCGGCCUGAGAGGGUGACCGGCCACAUUGGGACUGAGAUACGGCCCAGACUCCUACGGGAGGCAGCAGCGGGGAAUAUUGCACAAUGGGCGGAAGCCUGAUGCGGCAACGCCGCGUGCGGGAUGACGGCCUUCGGGUUGUAAACCGCUUUCGCCUGUGACGAAGCGUGAGUGACGGUAAUGGGUAAAGAAGCACCGGCUAACUACGUG
rnacentral:rRNA from 1 species